AUUGAACGCUGGCGGCAUGCUUUACACAUGCAAGUCGAACGGUAACAGGCCGCAAGGUGCUGACGAGUGGCGCACGGGUGAGUAAUGCAUCGGAACGUGCCCAGUCGUUGGGGAUAACUACUCGUAAGAGUAGCUAAUACCGCAUACGAUCUAUGGAUGAAAGCGGGGGACCGUAAUGCCUCUCGCGAUUUGUGUUGCCGAUGUCAGAUUAGGUAGUUGUUGGGGUAAAGGCUCACCAAGCCAACGAUCUGUAGCUGGUCUGAGAGGACAACCAGCCACACUGGGACUGAGACACGGCCCAGACUCCUACGGGAGGCAGCAGUGGGGAAUUUUGGACAAUGGGCGAAAGCCUGAUCCAGCAAUGCCGCGUGCAGGAAGAAGGCCUUCGGGUUGUAAACUGCUUUUGUACGGAACGAAACGGCUCUGGUUAAUACCCGGGGCUAAUGACGGUACCGUAAGAAUAAGCACCGGCUAACUACGUG
rnacentral:rRNA from 1 species